GUAGUCGGUCCCAAGGGUUGGGCUGUUCGCCCAUUAAAGCGGUACGCGAGCUGGGUUCAGAACGUCGUGAGACAGUUCGGUCCCUAUCCGUCGCGGGCGCAGGAAAUUUGAGAGGAGCUGUCCUUAGUACGAGAGGACCGGGAUGGACGCACCGCUGGUGUACCAGUUGUUCUGCCAAGGGCAUCGCUGGGUAGCUAUGUGCGGACGGGAUAAGUGCUGAAAGCAUCUAAGCAUGAAGCCCCCCUCAAGAUGAGAUUUCCCAUUCCGCAAGGAAGUAAGAUCCCUGAAAGAUGAUCAGGUUGAUAGGUCUGAGGUGGAAGUGUGGCGACACAUGGAGCUGACAGAUACUAAUCGAUCGAGGACUUAACCAAUUU
rnacentral:rRNA from 1 species